UAAAUUUGCAUCUACAUGAUCUUACUGAAAUUAAUUUUUUGUUGUCCAACUACUGAAGUUAAUAAGUUGAACAAAUAUUUGUAGGCAAUUGGUGAAAAUUAUGGUCUUAGGAUUGAAAGCUUUUCUUCACUGGUCAAUGGAAAAGCCAUAUGGUGUGUGCUUGAUUAUUACUUCCGCAAAGAACUUUCUUGUUCGAACAAGAAUUCUCAUGAAACGAGAGGUGAUGAAUCAAUCAUGUCUGCUUCUUAUUACACAGAUGUAGUUGUCAAUUUUGUAUUGUCACAGAAACUGACAGCAUUACUUGGAAACUUUCCAGAGGUUCUGCAAAUAAGUGACUUACUUGAGCAUAAAUGUGGAUCAGUUGAAUUUCCAUAAACUAUUGGGUUGUAAUUGUCAAAACCUAGAGAGGAGGCAUUCACUAACUCAAAGGCAGUUGGCAAGUUCUGAAGUCAUUGUGCAAAAGAAAGAAAGAGACUUAGAUAUCACUGAAGGUGCUUCUAAAAAGUUCAAGGUCAUUCUGGCUUGGUGGCAAGAUAUGACAGAACAAAACUACAAUAGUGUUGUAAAACCUGCUGUUUCUACUUCAUCUUUCUUCCCAACACAGAAGAUAAGCACUGACAUUUCCAGAGGUGGAAGGUCGUUAUAUGUUUCAAAGUGAAUCAUUGAAGCGUGCAAGGAGUCUUCUUGGUUAACCGGAGCAAUGAAGACUAAA